rnacentral:misc_RNA from 1 species
GGAUAAUCCAUGAACGCUGCAUAUAGAUGCCAAGCAUCUCAACCUGGCCAGCGCCAAAGGCCUGUCCGCACAGAGUCUCAAGUGCACUCCCCAUGCCAAGAAGAAAGCCGAAUGAGAAGUUUGAAAUGACCGAGAGAGAAAUAGCAACUGCAGAGAGCUCCAGAUUGCUGAGAUGCCCGACGAAGAUCUGCGUGGCGCUGUUGAUUCCGUACACGCAGAGAAUCUGGAACGCUAUCGGCAUCGCGAUCAGCCACAGCCGGGCCGAUUCCGCCAUGAACGUAUCCCACGCCUCCUUCACCGUCUUCACCGGUGCGGCAUCGACCGGCACCGCCGACGCAGCCAGAGCCGCGUCCUCCACCGCAACCGUCAUAUCUGACUUGGCGGUGCCAUUGGCCAUCCCCCCGGCAUGUCUCAGAAGCGG